AGAAUAGUCUGAUAGAGGUCAGGCAAGAGGAGAACUUGGAAAAACCACAGGAGGGGAGUUAGCUCCUGUAGUGGGUCUCAAAACACAGGCAAAACUCCAGGGAGAUAUCCCCGGUGCUUGGUGCUCAACUAAGCAGAGAAUCAUGAAAGAUUGGUGAAGAACUCAAGUACAAGUUUGGGAAAGGUUGAAGUUUGUACUUUUGGAAUAGGAUUUGUUAGAGAACUUUUGGCAGGUUGGAGGAAUCCUGAGAGCCACAGCUUUGAAAGAAGGGAGAAGCCUGAGAUCUUGAGGAACCUGAGAGGAAUGUGGAUACACAAAAGGGAGAGACGUUAAGGUGGCCUGCCUGGAGGGGUGAGUCAUGAGAAGGAGCCGACCACCACAGGGUUGGUGUGGCUGUCAACAGGUGGUACUAGAUGACAAGACUCUCCUAUGCCAUAUCCACUGCCGGGGGGCAAACCAGCGGUACAGAAUCUGAAGAAGAGAUUGGUGUUGAAUUCUGGUCCACUGAUCUGGAGUUACCAAUUUGAGAGAGAAGUUAAACCAGGAUUUUGGAGGCAUGGGA